rnacentral:rRNA from 1 species
AGAGUUUGAUCCUGGCUCAGAGUGAACGCUGGCGGCACGCUUAACACAUGCAAGUCGAACGGGUUUAAUUGGUGCUUGCACCGAUUGAAUUAGUGGCGAACGGGUGAGUAAUACAUGGGAAUCUGCCUCGCAAAGGGGGAUAACCACUGGAAACGGUGGCUAAUACCGCAUAUUGCCGAAAGGUGAAAGAUUUUAUCGUUGCGAGAUGAGCCCAUGCGGGAUUAGUUUGUUGGUGGGGUAAAGGCCUACCAAGGCGAUGAUCUCUAGCUGGUCUGAGAGGAUGAUCAGCCACACUGGGACUGAGAUACGGCCCAGACUCCUACGGGAGGCAGCAGUGAGGAAUUUUGGACAAUGGGCGAAAGCCUGAUCCAGCGAUGCCGCGUGAGUGGUAAGGUCUUAGGAUUGUAAAGCUCUUUCGAUGGGGAAGAUAAUGACUGUACCCAUAGAAGAAGUCCCGGCUAACUUCGUGCCAGCAGCCGCGGUAAUACGAAGGGGGCGAGCGUUACUCGGAAUAACUGGGCGUAAAGAGUGCGUAGGCGGUUUUGUAAGUUGGAAGUGAAAUCCUUGGGCUUAACCCAAGAACUGCUUUCAAAACUACUUGACUUGAGUAUCAGACGGGAUAGCGGAAUUUCUGGUGUAGAGGUGAAAUUCGUAGAUAUCAGGAGGAACACCGGUAGCGAAGGCGGCUAUCUGGCUGAUUACUGACGCUGUUGCACGAAAGCGUGGGGAGCAAACAGGAUUAGAUACCCUGGUAGUCCACGCAGUAAACGAUGAGCGCUAGGUGUUGGGGCUUUUAUGCUUCAGUGCCGUAGUUAACGCGUUAAGCGCUCCGCCUGAGGAGUACGACCGCAAGGUUAAAACUCAAAGGAAUUGACGGGGACCCGCACAAGCGGUGGAACAUGUGGUUUAAUUCGAUGCUACGCGAAAAACCUUACCAGGUCUUGACAUAUUAGUCGUACGGCUAGGAAACUAGUUGGUCAGUUCGGCUGGACUAUUACAGGUGUUGCAUGGCUGUCGUCAGCUCGUGUCGUGAGAUGUUGGGUUAAGUCCCGCAACGAGCGCAACCCUUGCCCUUAAUUGCCAGCGGGUUAUGCCGGGGACUUUGGGGGGACUGCCAGCGUUAAGUUGGAGGAAGGAGAGGAUGAGGUCAAGUCAUCAUGGCCCUUAUGACCUGGGCUACACAUGUGUUACAAUGGCGGUUACAAUGGGAUGCAAUAGAGCGAUCUGGAGCAAAUCCCCAAAGGCCGUCUCAGUUCGGAUUGCACUCUGCAACUCGAGUGCAUGAAGUUGGAAUCGCUAGUAAUCGCGGAUCAGCACGCCGCGGUGAAUACGUUCCCGGGUCUUGUACACACUGCCCGUCAAGCCACGGGAGUUGGUUCUGCCUGAAGUACGUGAGUUAACCGAAAGGAGACAGCGUAUCACGGCGGGGUUAGCGACUGGGUUAAGUCGUAACAAGGUA